UNGUUACUGAUGAACUGUUCAGAAACGCCU
rnacentral:piRNA from 1 species